rnacentral:misc_RNA from 1 species
UAUAAAAAUUCAGCAAUCGUAUGUGUAAUGAAAAUAAAAUAGGAAAUAAAUUUACUCUGUUAUUUUAUUAUCAUGUUCUAAUUACUAAUCAAAUAAUUUGACCUUAAUUUAUUGUUGCGUAUUGCGAUCAGUGAAUAAAAAUGAGUUUAGUUGGAAAGAAAUGUGAAUCGAUAUCUCUUCUUGAACCUAACAGAGAUGAAAUUCUACGCAGCGAGGUCACACCUGAUGAUGUUCUAAGGUUGGAUAAGAUCACAGAUACGUAUUUAUGCAGUCCUGAAGCGAAUGUAUACGAUAUAGACUUUACAAGAUUUAAAAUACGUGAUCUUGAAACAGGUACUGUCCUAUUUGAGAUUGCUAAACCUCCUACAGAUUUCAGUGUCGAUAAUGAGGGCACUGAGGAUGUACCGGAAGAACCUCUCGACCCUAACGCGGGCAGAUUCGUACGCUAUCAGUUUACACCGCAAUUUUUGAAACUAAAAACAGUAGGCGCAACAGUUGAAUUCACUGUUGGGGCUCGUCCAGUGAACCAUUUCAGAAUGAUUGAAAAACAUUUCUUCAGAGAUACACUACUCAAGACGUUUGAUUUUGAAUUUGGCUUCUGUAUCCCGUUUUCGAGGAAUACCUGUGAACAUAUUUAUGAGUUCCCUUCUCUGCCUCCAGAUUUGGUUGAAGAAAUGAUAGCUGCACCAUUUGAGACAUGUUCGGAUAGCUUUUACUUUGUGGACAACAAUCUGGUAAUGCACAACAAAGCUGACUACGCAUACAACGGUGGUAUAAACAACUAAUCACAAUUUCCAAGUUUCUUUCACCUUUAAAAAUUGGCACUAAAGUGUACUUGUUUCAUAAAAUUGAAUUAUAUUUAUUGAAAUAAUAAGAUUUGGCAUAGCACACUUUUAUUAAACUGUUGGUAUAUUAUGAGAAUUUCAAAUUGUUUUUUCCAAUAGAAAAUUUUUUCAUUAUUUUCUAAAAGCCAAUUUUUUAUUUGCCAUUGAUGUAAGUAUAACAGAGGAUCAGUUGUACGCCAGCAUAGUAAACAAAUGGAAUUGGUAAUUUUUUGUUUAUCUGAAAUAUCUUGGAAAAUAUGGGACAAAACAUUACCAACACCAGUACAAAUCAAUAAACCAUUCCAUGAAAUAAUUCCAAAUGCAAUAAUAAUAAUUAUUUUUGUACCAGUAGGUAAUUUAUUUUAUUUCAAAUUAUCUUAUGAAGGAAAAAAAUAUUUGUUGAAAUUUUUAUUUUAAUAAAAAUUAUUAAACAAGGAUCUCAUUAAUUUUAGGGAGUGUGGUUGGUCUUUUUAGACUUUUUAAAAUUGUGUGCAAGUUUUCUCUUUCUAAACAAUCAUAGUUUGAAAGUCACCCUAUGAUAAUGCCAUGAUUUCUCAAAUUAAUCUGAUGAAAUUAUAAAAUAUAACGGACCCCCUUCAUGAUUUUGUUCGCAUGGAAACUAUUUCUGAAUAAUAUUGUUGCGUAACUUGAACUGUUUACGUAAAUUAAGCUCUCAUUUUGUCCGGUUUUGACCACGGUUUUUUCUAUCAAUUCGAACCAGUACUUUCUGAGAUUAACACAUUCAAUAUAUACAUUGAAACCUGCUAACUCCCAAAGUCCCUCCCUAAUGAAUGCAUAGCAUAGGCUGACAAAAUGCCUUUAACAAAAUGAUGAAGGUCUGACCUUCACAGAUUUUUAGACUAUAAUCAGAGGUACAAUUUAUCCGCCCUCUUUAAUAUACUCGCAUCAUAUUAAAGUGGGCGGAUAAUUGUGCCUCUGAGUAUAUAACAACAAAGGCCUGAUUAUUGACAUUUAACUUAAAUAUCAAUGUAUGUAGAACUGGUAUUACAAAAUGAAUAUAACUAUCAAUCUAGAUUGUUUAGGAAGCUUAUAUUGUUGUUGUCACUUAAGCACUGUUUGAAACACUUUAGAUACAUUUUGGUGUGUGACACUAUUUUGCAUUUUUUGUAGCUUUUAAGGGCAAUUGGGUGAUAAUGGAUAUUACUAUAUUUCAGUACAAUUCAUACGAUUUCUAGUUAUUUGAUUCAUGAAUACCUACCAUUUUUGUUGUAUCUGUGCCACCUGCAUGACAUGAUUAAUGAUUAUAAUAGAAUGGAUCUACUUAAAUUAAUUAUAGGUUUUUGAGGUCGUAGUUUUGUUGAAUUGAAAUAUAGUCAUAUAGAGUACUCGGUUUUAACUAAAUUCUAGUCAACUUUAACUGUUCGUGUCGUUUUAUAUGAGAGAAUCUAUCAAAGAGAGGGUAAAACAAUAAAUGUUAACAACUACAGGGAAAGGGAAUUGGAUAAGAUUUUAGAAUUUCCAAACUUUAUGACCAUGUGAAAUUGUGUGUUUUUCAAAUCUUUAAAAAAAUGUACUUAUACUACAGCCUUUCUUGAGGAGUACUGUUUACCAACAAACAAAUUAAAAAUGAGGGUCUAAAGCACUAGUCAUUUCAUACCUAACAAUAAUUAUAAUGAACUUGUUCUUAAAUCCAUGAAAAUACAUUCGAUUAAUAAGCUUAGAACAAUUAGAUAUGGUGAAUAUAUUUUAUAAACAAACAAUACAUAAUUUAAAAUAA